rnacentral:rRNA from 1 species
ACGGAGCUAUUUUGAUAGAACCCUUCGGGGGACAUUGGCUUAGCUUAGUGGCGAACGGGUGAGUAACACGUGAGGAACCUACCUUUCAGAGGGGGACAACAGUUGGAAACGACUGCUAAUACCGCAUAAGACCACGAUACGGCAUCGUAUUGAGGUCAAAGGAGCAAUCCGCUGAGAGAUGGCCUCGCGUCCGAUUAGCUAGAUGGUGAGGUAACGGCCCACCAUGGCGACGAUCGGUAGCCGGACUGAGAGGUUGAACGGCCACAUUGGGACUGAGACACGGCCCAGACUCCUACGGGAGGCAGCAGUGGGGAAUAUUGCACAAUGGAGGAAACUCUGAUGCAGCGACGCCGCGUGAGGGAAGAAGGUCUUCGGAUUGUAAACCUCUGUUGUCAGGGACGAUAAUGACGGUACCUGACGAGGAAGCCACGGCUAACUACGUGCCAGCAGCCGCGGUAAAACGUAGGUGGCAAGCGUUGUCCGGAAUUACUGGGUGUAAAGGGAGCGCAGGCGGAUUUGCAAGUUGGAAGUGAAACUCAUGGGCUCAACCCAUGAACUGCUUUCAAAACUGCAGAUCUUGAGUGGUGUAGAGGUAGGCGGAAUUCCCGGUGUAGCGGUGGAAUGCGUAGAUAUCGGGAGGAACACCAGUGGCGAAGGCGGCCUACUGGGCACUAACUGACGCUGAGGCUCGAAAGCAUGGGUAGCAAACAGGAUUAGAUACCCUGGUAGUCCAUGCCCGUAAACGA